UACGGAGGGGGCGAGCGUUAUUCGGAAUUAUUGGGCGUAAAGGGCGCGUAGGCGGCCUUGUAAGUCAAAGGUGAAAUCCCUCGGCUCAACUGAGGAACUGCCUUUGAAACUGCAAGGCUUGAGGCCGGGAGGGGGUAGCGGAAUUCCCAAUGUAGCGGUGAAAUGCGUAGAUAUUGGGAGGAACACCAGUGGCGAAGGCGGCUAUCUGGACAGUAACCGACGCUGAGGCGCGAAAGCUAGGGGAGCAAACAGG
rnacentral:rRNA from 1 species